rnacentral:ncRNA from 1 species
UGACAAUUCUUUUAUUAAGGUGCUUACUGACUGGCUCAGAAAGAUAAACGGGAAGUUGGUGUAACUCCAACACUGCCCUCGCAACGGUAAAUAAGGGUAAGGUCAAUCAUGAAAGUCACUGCGUGCUAUCGUGGGAAGGCGAUUGACCCAGGUAUUAAAACCAACUUAUGAGUCCGGAGACCGGCCUUAAUAACUGUUAUGUA